GAUGAACGCUGGCGGCGUGCCUAAUACAUGCAAGUCGAGCGAACAGAUGAGGAGCUUGCUCCUCUGACGUUAGCGGCGGACGGGUGAGUAACACGUGGAUAACCUACCUAUAGACUGGGAUAACUUCGGGAAACCGGAGCUAAUACCGGAUAAUAUAUUGAACCGCAUGGUUCAAUAGUGAAAGACGGUUUUGCUGUCACUUAUAGAUGGAUCCGCGCCGCAUUAGCUAGUUGGUAAGGUAACGGCUUACCAAGGCAACGAGGCGUAGCCGACCUGAGAGGGUGAUCGGCCACACUGGAACUGAGACACGGUCCAGACUCCUACGGGAGGCAGCAGUAGGGAAUCUUCCGCAAUGGGCGAAAGCCUGACGGAGCAACGCCGCGUGAGUGAUGAAGGUCUUCGGAUCGUAAAACUCUGUUAUUAGGGAAGAACAAAUGUGUAAGUAACUAUGCACGUCUUGACGGUACCUAAUCAGAAAGCCACGGCUAACUACGUG
rnacentral:rRNA from 1 species